UACGGAGGGGACUAGCGUUGUUCGGAAUUACUGGGCGUAAAGCGCACGUAGGCGGAUUUGCUAGUCAGGGGUGAAAUCCCGAGGCUCAACCUCGGAACUGCCUUUGAUACUGCAAAUCUCGAGUCCGGAAGAGGUGAGUGGAAUUCCCGGUGUAGCGGUGAGAUGCGCAGAUAUCGGGAAGAACACCCGUGGCGAAGGCGGCCCUCUGGGACGGUACUGACGCUGAGACGCGAAAGCGUGGGGAGCGAACAGG
rnacentral:rRNA from 1 species